UGCCCUAGUAACGGCGAGUGAAGCGGCAACAGCUCAAAUUUGAAAUCUGGCUCUCGGGCCCGAGUUGUAAUUUGUAGAGGAUACUUUUGAUGCGGUGCCUUCCGAGUUCCCUGGAACGGGACGCCAUAGAGGGUGAGAGCCCCGUCUGGUUGGAUGCCAAAUCUCUGUAAAGUUCCUUCAACGAGUCGAGUAGUUUGGGAAUGCUGCUCUAAAUGGGAGGUAUAUGUCUUCUAAAGCUAAAUACCGGCCAGAGACCGAUAGCGCACAAGUAGAGUGAUCGAAAGAUGAAAAGCACUUUGAAAAGAGAGUUAAAAAGUACGUGAAAUUGUUGAAAGGGAAGCGUUUAUGACCAGACUUGGGCUUGGUUAAUCAUCUGGGGUUCUCCCCAGUGCACUUUUCCAGUCCAGGCCAGCAUCAGUUUUCCCCGGGGGAUAAAGGCGGCGGGAAUGUGGCUCUCUUCGGGGAGUGUUAUAGCCCACCGUGUAAUACCCUGGGGGGGACUGAGGUUCGCGCAUCUGCAAGGAUGCUGGCGUAAUGGUCAUCAACGACCCGUCUUGAAACACGGACCAAGGAGUCGUCUUCGUAUGCGAGUGUUCGGGUGUCAAACCCCUACGCGUAAUGAAAGUGAACGCAGGUGAGAGCUUCGGCGCAUCAUCGACCGAUCCUGAUGUUCUCGGAUGGAUUUGAGUAAGAGCAUACGGGGCCGGACCCGAAAGAAGGUGAACUAUGCCUGUAUAGGGUGAAGCCAGAGGAAACUCUGGUGGAGGCUCGCAGCGGUUCUGACGUGCAAAUCGAUCGUCAAAUAUGGGCAUGGGGGCGAAAGACUAAUCGAACCUUCUAGUAGCUGGUUUCCGCCGAAGUUUCCCUCAGGAUAGCAGUGUUGAACUCAGUUUUAUGAGGUAAAGCGAAUGAUUAGGGACUCGGGGGCGCUAUUUAGCCUUCAUCCAUUCUCAAACUUUAAAUAUGUAAGAAGCUCUUGUUGCUUAAUUGAACGUGAGCAUUCGAAUGUAUCAACACUAGUGGGCCAUUUUUGGUAAGCAGAACUGGCGAUGCGGGAUGAACCGAACGCGAGGUUAAGGUGCCAGAGUAGACGCUCAUCAGACACCACAAAAGGUGUUAGUACAUCUUGACAGCAGGACGGUGGCCAUGGAAGUCGGAAUCCGCUAAGGACUGUGUAACAACUCACCUGCCGAAUGUACUAGCCCUGAAAAUGGAUGGCGCUCAAGCGUCUCACCCAUACCUCGCCCUCAGGGUAGAAACGAUGCCCUGAGGAGUAGGCGGACGUGGAGGUCAGUGACGAAGCCUAGGGCGUGAGCCCGGGUAAAGUUCCU
rnacentral:rRNA from 1 species